AAUCAACGCUGGCGGCGUGCCUCAGACAUGCAAGUCGAACGAUUAAACUUUCCUUCGGGAAAGAUAUAAAGUGGCGCACGGGUGAGUAACACGUAAGUAAUCUACCCUCGAGUGGGGAAUAACAUCGGGAAACCGAUGCUAAUACCGCAUAACGCAGCGGCACCGCAAGGUGACAGUUGUUAAAGGAGUAAUUCGCUUGA
rnacentral:rRNA from 1 species